GAUGAACGCUGGCGGCGUGCUUAACACAUGCAAGUCGAACGAAGCAUUUUAACUUGAUUUCUUCGGAAUGAUUGUUACUUUGACUGAGUGGCGGACGGGUGAGUAACGCGUGGGUAACCUGCCUCAUACAGGGGGAUAACAGUUAGAAAUGACUGCUAAUACCGCAUAAGCGCACGGUAUCGCAUGAUACAGUGUGAAAAACUCCGGUGGUAUGAGAUGGACCCGCGUCUGAUUAGCUAGUUGGUGAGGUAACGGCCCACCAAGGCGACGAUCAGUAGCCGACCUGAGAGGGUGACCGGCCACAUUGGGACUGAGACACGGCCCAAACUCCUACGGGAGGCAGCAGUGGGGAAUAUUGCACAAUGGGCGAAAGCCUGAUGCAGCGACGCCGCGUGAACGAAGAAGUAUUUCGGUAUGUAAAGUUCUAUCGGCAGGGAAGAUAAUGACGGUACCUGACUAAGAAGCACCGGCUAAAUACGUGCCAGCCGCCGCUGUAACAC
rnacentral:rRNA from 1 species